rnacentral:rRNA from 1 species
AACGUAGGAGACGAACGUUAUCCGGAGUUACUGGGCGUAAAGGGCGUGUAGGCGGUUUGUUGAGUCUGGCGUGAAAGCUCUCGGCUAAACCGGGAGAGGUCGUUGGAUACUGGCGAACUAGAGGAUGGUAGAGGCGUGUGGAAUUCCGGGUGUAGUGGUGAAAUGCGUAGAGAUCCGGAGGAACACCAGUGGCGAAGGCGACACGCUGGGCCAUACCUGACGCUAAAGCGCGACAGCAUGGGGAGCAAACGGG